rnacentral:lncRNA from 1 species
GAAAUUAUUGGGCUAGUGCACAUAUUGUUAGCAGAAAUAGCAAUACUACAAAUGGAUUAGGCAUCAUCAAUUACUAUCCAAAUCAUCCCAAAAGAAAUCCCCCCACGAGUCCCCCGGUUGGACCUCGAUGGAACGAUACAGCUCCCAGAAUUGCUCAAAGUCAAGCAAUCAAAGCUCUCAAAGGCUACAUCCAUACCCCUCCACAGACAACAGAUAGAGUAAUUGUUAUGCUCAACACACAAAACAGGAUAGAUGGUCAUGUCCGUUGGUCUGUCAACAAUGUCUCAUUUGGCCUUCCUGAGACACCUUACCUCAUAGCCCUUAAACAAAAUUUUCUACAUGCUUUCGAGCAAACCCCUCCUCCAGAAGGAUACGAUGCUGCCAACUACGACAUCUAUAGUGUUGCCAAGAAUGUAAAUGCCACGACAAGCAACUCGAUUUAUCGGCUCAAGUUCAACUCGACAGUUGAUGUAAUCUUGCAGAAUGCAAACACAAUGACUGUGAAUAACAGUGAAACACAUCCUUGGCAUCUUCACGGGCAUGAUUUUUGGGUCCUGGGCUAUGGUACAGGCAAGUUUAACAUCUCAACUGAUCCCAAGAAGUACAACCUUGUCAAUCCGAUAAUGAAGAAUACAGUGCCUGUUCAUCCUUAUGGCUGGACUGCAUUGAGAUUCAGAGCUGAUAAUCCAGGUGCUUGGCUAUUCCAUUGCCAUAUUGAAGCUCAUUUCUUCCAGGGCAUGGGAGUGAUAUUUGAAGAAGGGGUGGAGAAGGUAGGAAGAUUGCCCACAUCUAUAAUGGGAUGCGGUGAAACAAAACGCUUUUUCAAGCCGUAGAGAAAUAAAAGAAAUACAAGCUGAAGAUAUGUAGCACAAAAGAUUCAAGCCGCUUUUUCUUGUAUGUAGCACAAAAGAUUCUUGAAAUCCCUUAUUUUUUUCAAUAAUGUUUUCCCGAAACAAAAGUCUAGACUUUUGGUUUAUAUUUUUUUUGCAUUAUUGUUUGAUCGGCAUUUGCGGCGAAGGACAGUUUCUCUAUGCUUUUUAACUUCAAAAACUGUUUGAUUCUUUAGCGGAAAUUCUCUCUUUCUUUGCGCAAAUAAAACUUUGAUCAAGCUAAUAAAGUGGUUAAGCAAGUCAAGUAUGUCAAAUACUGUAUUUUAUUCCCUCCUCCCCUCUAAUUUAGGGAGGAUUUUCCUUGUUAAGUUCUGGAUAAUUUUCUCCUAGGCACCAUUUUCACAUAUCACAACGGAAUCUUUCAUCCUAUUGUGCUACUCUCUAUCCCAUUUUUAUUAUAUUAUUAUUAUUUUUCAUAAACAUCAUAUUUUAAUUCUUUUUUGUUUCUUAAGAUCCAAUAACUAUUAACAAAAUAGUGAAAAAAUAAAAAAUAAAAGAAAGUCGUGAAAAAGAAAAAAAAAGGGAGUGAAUAAACAAAAAAUAGUAAGGGCAAUUUUGUCUUAAAAUAUUAAAUAUGGAGGCAAAAUGCUUAUUUAAUGAGUUCAGAAGGGGUAAAAUGUAACCAAGGUAAAGUUCAAGGGGUUUGGUGCAUUUAACCCUUAGGCAUGAGUCAAUGGAGCUUCCCAUGCAUGAUAGGCAACUGCCUGCAUGGAGCUUUCCUGGUCGUGACCUGUGAUGCUAACACAUGAAUAAAGCCUUCCUUUAGGCACAAGUCGAUGGAGAAUCUUCCACUUCAUCGAGUCUACUUGGUUGUUCUUAGAUAUUUUUUUUUACGCGCAGGGGCGGAGCCAGAAAAAUAUCUUAGUGGAGGCAAAAAUAACAAUAAAAUUUUUUACCUACUUUUUUUCUAAUUUUUAAGCAAAAAAAAAAAAAUCUCAUGCAUAAAAUCACCAUUUCACAAGUUAAAAUAUUUAUCAAAUAACCCAUUUAUUAGUUAUUACAUUAACUAAUCAAUUUUCAAAUUUCUUUAAAACAGUAAUAGCCUCAUGCUCUAGAAAUAUAUUUGCAAACAAAUUUAAAAUAAUAAUAAUAAUAAGAAGUAAUUGUUUAGAACCUGAUUUUGAUGGUCUCCUAAAGUUGGUGAAAAGAGCUGCAAAAUGUGGCGGAUCCAAGUUCUAGAAGAUCAGUUGAUUCUGGUGUAAUCUCUAAAUAGGAUGAAGUGAUCAAAAGAAAGAGUAACAAGCUUUGGUUGUGGAAAAAAAAUGGCCCUCCUAUUGGGGCGUGGGGACAACCGAGAGUCUGAUGAGAAAAGGAAAAUUGGGGAGUUGGGACAAAGGAAGUAAAUGAUAAUUGGAUGAAGUGAUAAAAAAAAAAAUAGUUGGCUUGGGUGUGGAAGAAGAGGAGGAACCAGUUAUUAAGGGAAAUGGGGGACCACAGGAGUAAAGGGAACUUGGGGAGUGAGGACCAAAAGGAAUGACUGAUAUAAUUGGUACUUGGCCCGUUGGCCUUGUUGGUGGAAAAAUGGGAACUAGAGGGGGCAAGUGAAUGAUAUAAAUUUUGCGAUCCAUUCAUUCACAUUUUUUCUAAAAAAAUUCUGAAAACAUCUUUAAAAUUAUAUCAAAAUUAUAGAUAUAUUAUAGAAAUUUAAGGGACACCGUAGCGGCCCGUGCCCCCACUUUAAAUCCGCCCUUGUUUACGCGGUUUCACGACACGGAAACUGGAACCCAUUUUUGAGCUUUCAAAUCAUUUGUCUAUAAUUAAACAUAUCAUGAUAUCCCCUCUUUUAUUUAAUUAUUUUCUUUCAAUUUCGGCUAAUACAACAUAGCUUUAGCUAGAUCACCCUUUUUCUUUUAACGCGGUUUAGUGUUUUUCGGCCCCGCAAAAAGUAGAAUCUGAGAUCUAUUUGUAGUUUAUUUCUUAGCCAAGGAAGUAGAAAAAUGGCCAAUCAGCUUGUCUAGCGUACCGACAAUUGGUCAAAUCUAAGUAAAAGAAAAAGGUUCAAGCUACAAUUCUCGUUGAAAUAUCAUAUUCUUGUAUUCCUUGUCACGGCAGAGGGACAUCUCCCGUGUUGAAUCUUUUACCACCCAAAAUGACAAGCCCUGGCGCUUGGCCAAUAGCCAUUUGGCUUGUUGUCCCCAUGACUUUAAGUCUUCAUUGUUGGCGGAAGUUCAAAGGUUCAAAUUUUAUUUUUCGCUAGUAAUUUUUUAUGAUUUGUCACUUUCAAUGAUUUCAUCGGAUGAUAUUUUCAUAUCGGUUAAGUCCCUCCUCCUUCUAAAAUAAGAUAAAGAAAGUUAUAGAAAUAUUGAUAAAAAAAAAUAAAGUAGAUUAUAAAAAUGUUGACAAAAAAAAAAAGAAGAGAAAGCCUUGUUUUGACUGGCACAACUUGAAUCAAGGACUGUAUAAAUAUAGACACUGAUACAAUGAUAAUAAAAAUACAAUGAACUUUUACUCUCAUUGAAAUUUGUGUUAAACAGCUUUGUCGUAUUUUUAUAUAUAUUAUUGUGCGAAUGUCUACAUUUAUUGUUCCAAUAUCUAAUAUUUGUCAUGCCAUUGCCUAUGCUGCAUGGUACAAUUACCAUUCACAAUUAUAGAGAUAACUUAUCUCUGAAACUUCUUGUCGGAGUUAAAAAAGAAGUUUGCACCACAUAGGAUUCUUCGAAAAUGUAAAAUCCAAGAAAUACAUAAAUAGGGUUGGUUGGAGAUGGACUUUACCAAGUCAUACCCUUAGGAAGUCAAACAGGGGACGUAUUCCUCUUGGCAGUGCUGUUCCACUUACAGACGAGACCAAGUUGGCAUGUACAGAUUGGCAUUGCAACGACCAGAUCCGUUUCCCCUGCGGGUGCCGGAGGGGGAAAAAAUUUAUAAUAAAUAAGAAAUAUAUAAUUAAUAAAAAUAUAAUCAAUAAUUUAGUAUAAAUAUAUUAAUAUAAAUAUAUAAUUAUUAGCAUAAUUAAUAAUAUUAAAUAUGUUUUAUAUGUAUAUAGGGGACUAGGAAGGGGAUGAGACAGGAUCUCCUACCCCUUUUUUUUAGCGGAAGGUAAAAAUUACGAAAUUUCUGUUCUCAAAUUAGUCUCUAUUUCUUCUGUCUCUUCUUUAUAUAGCUGUCAUGUGUCUUUAAUUUUUUGAUAAUCCAAACUCAAACAAAUCGAUAAUAAUCGGUUAACAAGUUUACUCAAAACCAAAACUUGCAGUCUUUUUCUUCAUGCAAACUAGAGUUGAAAAAAUUUUGAUUAGGGAACCACCGCUUGAUUUAUCCAAAGAAAAAAAUAGUUUUAAGUUAUUGGAACCGCUUGAUUUAUCCAAAGGCAAAAAAGUUUUGAAUUAUCUGUUUUACUUGGUUUUGAGUAAACUUGUUAAUCAAUUAUUAUUGAUUUGUUUGAGUUUGUGUUAUUAAAAGAUUAGAGACACAUGACAACUAUAUAAAGAAGGAACAGAAAGGAUAUAAACUAAUUUGGGGACAGAAAAUUCGAAGCCGAAAAUUACCCGCAUGAACCCCGGGUGAGCACCCUUUUUAAUUGCCAUCCCUCUGUCAGGGGAAAUUGGAGGGCAAUUUCCUUCUUUUGAACGGUUGUAUUUUGGAACCUUCGUCUUGGUCGUCGUCUGCAACUUGGUCGUGGUCUUAGCUCUCAAGCUAUCAACUGCCUCCCUAUAUAUGUAGUUAUUUCUUGAUCAGCUCAAGAAAUUAGCAAGACAAGCUACCGUCCCGAGCUACAUUAUUGCUCUAAUCAAGACAUCAAAACUUGUGGACCGCUUGAACUUUUUCAAGAGAUCAUUGAGACAUGGCGGCUGAGCUUCUCCAAUGCAGAAGUUUAGCUAAAAACUUGGUGGGCUUGUGUUUGUUUUUGUGUUUGGCAUCUGCAGCGUUUCCUUCUGUUGAAGCUAAAGUUAGAUACCAUAAGUGGGAGGUGAAAUAUGAGUACAAGUCUCCUGAUUGCUACAAGAAGUUGGUGAUGACCAUCAAUGGAAGAAGUCCGGGACCAACCAUCAAUGCUCAGCAAGGUGAUACUAUUAUAGUUGAGCUCAAGAACAGCUUGCUACUUGAGAAUGUUGCCAUCCAUUGGCAUGGAAUCAGACAGGUAAUCAAGGAGAAAAUCUGACAUCUUCCUAUAUUUCUCUGUUCUCAAUAUUAUGGUUUCUUGAUGGUACAAGAUUUUAAUAUCUAUUCCUAUUUAUUGAGUGCAGCAUGGAACACCUUGGUCUGACGGGACAGAAGGGGUGACACAGUGUCCAAUUCUCCCAGGAGAUACCUUUACAUACAAGUUCAUAGUAGACAGAGUAAGUCCAAUGGUUGAUAUAGUCCCUUGCUUUAAUGCUACAUGCUUCAUUUACCAUAGAUUUGAUCUGAUUGGUAAAAUAUGUCACUUUUCUUGCAGCCUGGAACAUAUUUGUAUCAUGCACAUUAUGGUAUGCAAAGAGAAGCAGGGCUAUAUGGAAUGAUUAAGGUUUCACUUCCUGCUGGAGAGUCUGAGCCUUUUUCUUAUGACUAUGACCGCAGCAUCAUCCUUAAUGAUUGGUACCACAAGAGUGCUUAUGAACAAAUGACUGGGCUCAAUUCAAUACCCUUUGGUUGGGUUGGGGAACCUCAGGUAAUUAAUGCUUUAAUUUAGUAUUACAGUUGAUCAGUUUUAUGCAUCAAAAAGCUUGAGGCUAAUGGUUUUUCUUCAACAUUUUCAGUCAAUUUUGAUACAAGGCAAAGGAAAAUUCAACUGCAGCACACCGGGGAUCGAAGCCGGUCUUUGCAAUGCGACAAAUCCAGAGUGUUCCCCUUUCUCAUUGACAGUUGUUCCUGGCAAAACAUACAGGCUGAGGAUUGGAAGCUUGACCGGUCUUUCAGCCUUGAGUUUUGAAAUAGAGGUACAAAUUACUACAAUUUCUUACAAAUUUUCCUGUUAUCAAGAAUUUUUAAAGUACCCCUUCACAUGCUUUACCAGCUGGACCCAAAAUUUUUAAUUUCUAAAAGCCUAUCCGCAGAAUAAACAAUCAAGGCCGACUAGCCAAACACUUAUUAUCAUUAAAUAUUGAAUGUAGGGUCACAAUAUGACUGUUGUUGAAGCUGAUGGCAACAAUGUCGAGCCGUUUGUGGUCCAAAAUCUUUUCAUCUACUCUGGAGAGACAUACUCCGUCCUAAUCAAGGCUGAUCAAGACCCUUCGCGAAAUUAUUGGGCUAGUGCACAUAUUGUUAGCAGAAAUAGCAAUACUACCAAUGGAUUGGGCAUCAUCAAUUACUAUCCAAAUCAUCCCAGAAGAAAUCCCCCCACGAGUCCCCCGGUUGGACCUCGAUGGAACGAUACAGCUCCCAGAAUUGCUCAAAGUCAAGCAAUCAAAGCUCUCAAAGGCUACAUCCAUACCCCUCCACAGACAACAGAUAGAGUAAUUGUUAUGCUCAACACACAAAACAG